CGGAUAAAAGGUACUCCGGGGAUAACAGGCUGAUACCGCCCAAGAGUUCAUAUCGACGGCGGUGUUUGGCAUCCGUCGAUGUCGGCUCAGUCACAUCCUGGGGCUGAACGUAGGUCCCAAGGGUAUGGCGUGUUCGCCAUUUAAAGUGGUACGCGAGCUGGGUUUAGAACGUCGUGAGACAGUUCGGUCCCUAUCUGCCGUGGGCGCUGGAGAACUGAGGGGGGCUGCUCCUAGUACGAGAGGACCGGAGUGGACGCAUCACUGGUGUUCGGGUUGUCAUGCCAAUGGCACUGCCCGGUAGCUAAAUGCGGAAGAGAUAAGUGCUGAAAGCAUCUAAGCACGAAACUUGCCCCGAGAUGAGUUCUCCCUGACUCCUUGAGAGUCCUGAAGGAACGUUGAAGACGACGACGUUGAUAGGCCGGGUGUGUAAGCGCAGCGAUGCGUUGAGCUAACCGGUACUAAUGAACCGUGAGGCUUAACCUUACAACGCCGAAGCUGUU
rnacentral:rRNA from 1 species